GACGAACGCUGGCGGCGUGCCUAAUACAUGCAAGUAGAACGCACAGUUUAUACCGUAGCUUGCUACACCAUAGACUGUGAGUUGCGAACGGGUGAGUAACGCGUAGGUAACCUGCCUGGUAGCGGGGGAUAACUAUUGGAAACGAUAGCUAAUACCGCAUAAUAUUAAUUAUUGCAUGAUAAUUGAUUGAAAGAUGCAACUGCAUCACUACCAGAUGGACCUGCGUUGUAUUAGCUAGUAGGUGAGGUAACGGCUCACCUAGGCGACGAUACAUAGCCGACCUGAGAGGGUGAUCGGCCACACUGGGACUGAGACACGGCCCAGACUCCUACGGGAGGCAGCAGUAGGGAAUCUUUGGCAAUGGACGAAAGUCUGACCGAGCAACGCCGCGUGAGUGAAGAAGGUUUUCGGAUCGUAAAGCUCUGUUGUAAGAGAAGAACGGGUGUGAGAGUGGAAAGUUCACACUGUGACGGUAUCUUACCAGAAAGGGACGGCUAACUACGUG
rnacentral:rRNA from 1 species